UAAGCUUGAAUAUAUUGUAAGUACCUAAAGCUUGUAGACUUAUUUACUAGGUACCUAAUACCUAGCCUAACCUAGGUGCCAAUACAUGUUUCCGUGGAUACAUAUAGAUUAUUUAUGCGAGAAACUUUUUUGUUAAGUUUGUAACUUAUGAUAUUGAUGCUACUAAAAUAUGUGUAUUAUAUGUAUGGUCUACGUUUUCUGUGCGAUCUAUUGUGGUUUAUCUAAUCUAGAUACUGUGCAAUUCCUUAAUA